rnacentral:lncRNA from 1 species
AGAUGGCAGGCAGGCAGGCACUCUGAACUUCGUGUUGGAAGUUGCUUAUGGGAAAGCUUGCACUGGAUCCUCCAACUGAAAUGAAUGUUCUGGAAAAGACAUCUGCAGAGUGAAGAAGUGGGUUUGGAGUCCAGCUGUCCCCGAGUUUAAGGAUGUUUUGAAGAAACGUGAGAGUUGAAAAUUGAAUCUGAAAUCGUAACCCGGGAGAGGCCUUACUGUGCAGCUGCACCUUUAAGGACAUGCUCAUGAAUUUAUGUGAGAAUCAUUCAUCAGAAGAGAUUCAAAUCUUGUCACUGUUUCUUCCUGGUCACCUACCUGUACCUCAUCCCCAGCACCCACCAGACCAGACUCUCCAUGGCAAAGCAGAAGAAACCCUGUCAUUGACAUCACAGGACAGUGUGGCUUGAAGGGACUACUGAAGGAGCUCUUUGUUGGAAAUCACGGCACACAUGCCACACGGCCUUGAAAUUCUUUGAACAGUCGGCAUUCAUCAGGUGCAGUCUCUUGGCUGCCAGAGGAUCUUAGACAACUGGAUGAAGAAGGUUUAGGAAAGAACAACUCAGAAAGUAUCCUAAAUGAAGGACUGUCAGUGGGCAGGGAUUCCAUGGAAGCACCCUAUCAAUGCCUUAUCACCUGUGUGCGCUCCAUGACUGUGAGACGUCAUCCCGACUCUGUGCGCCCCAUUCUCUUCUGCCCCCUUUUGCUGCCUUUGGAGACCCCCAUAGGCUGCUCCUGAAGGUGAAGAGCUCAGAUCUGCAUGGAUCAUUGGACAUCUACAAAGUCUAUGGGGGAAAACCCAGCAGGGCAGAGUGAGUUCAGACCAAGCAACAUGCUGUUUUUCUUCCAGCCUUCCCUACGGACUAGCUUCUCUUGAAUGCUACAUGAGACUGCCAGGACAACAGGCUUCCUUCUCCCAAGCAGCAUGAGAUGACAUCUUUCUUUUAUUCCUCACAUAACACAAGGAUACAGGAAGACAUACUGAUUGGAGCACACAACAGAAUUUGUUUCUUUGUAUAAAUAAAGCGCUCUCUGU